UAUUAUUGUUUACCACUUUAUUUAUACAUUAAUGAGGUUGCUAAGUCUAUGAAUAUUUUUUGUUUCAACACUGAACUUAGCGCACUCUGCUGGUGCACUUGAAAACUAAUUCAUGUUCCAAUUAAGCAUUAGCACAAUGCGGCAUUGUGCGACACUGAGUCGCAUUAUGCUCUGUAAUUGGAAAACGGGGAUGGUUUACUAACCAAGAGUCUUCUUAAUACUAUGCGGUAUAGACUAGACUAGAGACCCUGUAGAAGGGACGCGCCAUGUGGAUUACAAGGCUGAAAAUGUGGGGGGACAGCUUCCGUUGCAUCGCGCAGCCAUGUUUAUCUUUAACUUAUUGUUUGAGAUAAAUAAUCAUGGUUCGACAGUGUAUUCUUAAUUACUGCAAAAGUUC